rnacentral:misc_RNA from 1 species
AACGCACAUUGCGCCCCUUGGUAUCCCGAGGGGCAUGCCUGUUCGAGCGUCAUCUCACCACUCAAGCGCGGCUUGGUGUUGGGCGACGUCCCCUCCUCGGGGACGCGCCUCGAAACGCUCGGCGGCGUGGCACCGGCUUUAAGCGUAGCAGAAUCUUUCGCUUUGGAAGUCGGGGCCCCGUCUGCCGGAAGACCUACCUUCGAGGUUGACCUCGGAUCAGGCAGGGAUACCCGCUGAACUUAA